CUCUUUACCAAAGUAAAUUGUUUAAUAAUGAGUGUCUUUUUAGUUGGGGCUAGUGUAGAGAUGACAGAGAAAAUGUUUGAGUGAGAGAGAUGAAGGAGAAAGGGUUGAGAGGAAUGAAGGAGGUGAGUAAGGGUUUGGGGUUUCUUUUGUUAAUUUUGAGAAUGAAAAUUAUUAAAAUAAGGCAAGUGUUUCUGAUUUUUUUCAAUUGGGGCUAGAGUAGGGAUGACAGA
rnacentral:lncRNA from 1 species